UACAGAGGGGGCAAGCGUUAUUCGGAAUUAUUGGGCGUAAAGGGCGCGUAGGCGGCUUGGCAAGUGGAUGGUGAAAUCCCUUGGCUUAACCGAGGAACUGCCGUCCAAACUGCUUCGCUUGAGACCGGGAGAGGUGAGUGGAAUUCCCAGUGUAGCGGUGAAAUGCGUAGAUAUUGGGAGGAACACCAGUGGCGAAGGCGGCUCACUGGACCGGUACUGACGCUGAUGCGCGAAAGCGUGGGGAGCAAACGGG
rnacentral:rRNA from 1 species